rnacentral:rRNA from 1 species
CAUGCAGUCGAACGGUAGCACAGAGAGCUUGCUCUCGGGUGACGAGUGGCGGACGGUUUGAGUAAUGUCUGGGAAACUGCCUGAUGGAGGGGGAUAACUACUGGAAACGGUAGCUAAUACCGCAUAACGUCGCAAGACCAAAGAGGGGGACCUUCGGGCCUCUUGCCAUCAGAUGUGCCCAGAUGGGAUUAGCUAGUAGGUGGGGUAACGGCUCACCUAGGCGACGAUCCCUAGCUGGUCUGAGAGGUGACCAGCCCCAUUUGAAUGAGACACGGUCCAACUCCUACGGGAGGCAGCCGUGGGAUAUUGCCAUUGGGCGCAGCUGAUGCACCUGCCCGGUAUAAAAAGGCUUCGGUUGUAAGUAUUUAUCGGGAGAGGUGUUUGUUAUUACCCAUAUUUGCU